CCUACGGGAGGCAGCAGUGAGGAAUAUUGGUCAAUGGACGAGAGUCUGAACCAGCCAAGUAGCGUGAAGGAUGACUGCCCUAUGGGUUGUAAACUUCUUUUAUAAAGGAAUAAAACGAGGCACGUGUGCCUUUUUGCAUGUACUUUAUGAAUAAGGCUCGGCUAACUCCGUGCCAGCAGCCGCGGUAAUACGGAGGAUCCGAGCGUUAUCCGGAUUUAUUGGGUUUAAAGGGAGCGUAGAUGGGUUGUUAAGUCAGUUGUGAAAGUUUGCGGCUCAACCGUAAAAUUGCAAUUGAUACUGGCAGUCGUGAGGACAGUUGAGGUAGGCGGAAUUCGUGGUGUAGCGGUGAAAUGCUUAGAUAUCACGAAGAACCCCGAUUGCGAAGGCAGCUUACUAAACUGUGACUGACAUUGAUGCUCGAAAGUGUGGGUAUCAAACAGGAUUAGAUACCCUGGUAGUC
rnacentral:rRNA from 1 species